rnacentral:rRNA from 1 species
GGUUGCGAUCAUACCAGCACUAAUGCACCGGAUCCCAUCUGAACUCCGCAGUUAAGCGUGCUUGGGCGAGAGUAGUACUAGGAUGGGUGACCCCCUGGGAAGUCCUCGUGUUGCAACCC